GGGGGUUGUCCUCUCAUUGCGAGAGGAGGCGCACCCAGAGCGUACACGCUGAUACCCGAAAGAUGGUGAACUAUGCCUGGCGAGGACGAAGCCAGGGGAAACCCUGGUGGAGGUCCGCAGCGAUUCUGACGUGCAAAUCGAUCGUCGGAGCUGGGUUUAGGGGCGAAAGACCAAUCGAACCAUCUAGUAGCUGGUUCCCUCUGAAGUUUCCCUCAGGAUAGCUUGCGCUCAAUUGAUACGAGUCUCAUCCGGUAGAGCGAAUGAUUAGAGGCCUUGGGGUCGAAACGACCUCAACCUAUUCUCAAACUCCAAAUAGAUGAGAACCCCGGCUUUCUUGAACUUUUGUUUAUGAAGCCGGGGGCUUGGAUCAGAGUGCCAAGUGGGCCAAUUUU
rnacentral:rRNA from 1 species